rnacentral:rRNA from 1 species
GACGAACGCUGGCGGCGUGCUUAACACAUGCAAGUCGAGCGGUAAGGCCCUUUCGGGGGUACACGAGCGGCGAACGGGUGAGUAACACGUGGGUGACCUGCCCUCAGCUCUGGGAUAAGCCUGGGGAAACCGGGGUCUAAUACUGGAUAUGACUCCAUGACGCAUGUUGUGGGGUGGAAAGCCUUGUGCGGCUGAGGAUGGGCCCGCGGCCUAUCAGCUUGUU